AUGGAAAAAGAAAAAGGAAAUGAUGAUGGAAUACCAGACCAAGGGAAUUUCUUGGAUUUUUCCGAACACUUUAACCAACUUGAAUUUUUGGAAACACAUGGACACCUUAUUCCUACUGGUGCUCAAAGUCUUUGGGUAGGCAAUUCUGAAGAAGACGAAGAGCAAGAUGAAAAAAAUGAAGAGUGGUAUCAAUUGCAAGAAAAAACAAUGGAAAAAGACCCAAGCAAAUUGCUUCUUUGGGCUGCUGAAAAAAAUCGGCUUACUACAGUACAGAGACUACUUUCUGAAAAGGCUGCUCAUGUGAACACUAGGGAUGAAGAUGAGUAUACCCCUCUUCAUCGUGCAGCCUACAGUGGACACGUAGAUAUUGUCUAGGAGAUCAUUUCACAGGGGGCAGAUGCUCAUGCAGUGACUGUGGAUGGCUGGACGCCCCUGCACAGUGCUUGCAAGUAGAAUAAUAUGAGUGGUUUCUUUCUUACUGCAGCAUGAUGCAGAUAUCAAUGCCCAAACAAAAGGCCUCUUGGCCCCCUUGCAUCUUGCUGCUGGGAACAGAGACAGCAAGGAUACCCUAGAACUCCUCCUGGUGAACUGUUACAUCAAGCCAGGGCUGAAAAACAACUUGGAAGAAACUGCAUUUGAUAUUGCCAGGAGGACAAGUGUCUAUCACUACCUCUUUGAAAUUGUGGAAGGCUGUGCAAAUUCUUCACCUCAGUCU
rnacentral:lncRNA from 1 species